AAGACUAUGACGUUGAUAGGUCGGGUGUGUAAGCGUAGCGAUACGUUGAGCUAACCGAUACUAAUGAACCGUGAGGCUUAACCUUACAACGCCGAAGC
rnacentral:rRNA from 2 species